UGUGAGAGGUUCGCUGUUGGUAGUGACGCCUGACUUUGAAUCAGGUCGCUGCUGGUUCGACUGGCGGCUCUCGCAG
rnacentral:tRNA from 1 species